rnacentral:rRNA from 1 species
AAUAGAUACCCGGGUAGUCCACGCCGUAAACGUUGGAUACUAGGUGUGGCGGUUAUACCAAUGACUGCCGUGCCGAAGCUAACGCAUUAAGUAUCCCGCCUGGGGAGUACGGCCGCAAGGCUAAAACUCAAAGGAAUUGACGGGUCCCCGCACAAGCGGCGGAGCAUGCGGCUUAAUUCGAUGCAACCCGAAGAACCUUACCUGGGUUUGACAUCACGGGAAAAGCUGUAGAAAUACAGUGUCCAUUAGGGCCCGUGACAGGUGGUGCAUGGCUGUCGUCAGCUCGUGUCGUGAGAUGUUGGGUUAAGUCCCGCAACGAGCGCAACCCUUGUCCUAUGUUGCCAGCGGUUCGGCCGGGGACUCAUAGGAGACUGCCGGGGAUAACUCGGAGGAAGGUGAGGACGGCGUCAAGUCAUCAUGCCCCUUAUAUCCAGGGCUGCACGCAUGCUACAAUGGCCGGUACAACGGGCAGCGACCCCGCGAGGGUGAGCGAAUCCUAAAAAGCCGGUCCUAGUUCGGAUUGAAGUCUGCAACUCGACUUC